ACUAUAAUCAAACAAUAUUUAUUGGAAGUCCUCCUUCGUUCGAUUCUCAAACUCCCAAAACUGUCACUUGUUACAUAGGAGAUACGGCAAAAUUGCACUGUAUUGUCAAUAAUUUGAAAUAUCACAUGGUGAUUUGGAAAAGAAGAAAGGAUCAUUCUUUGUUAACCGUUGUAAAUAAUAAAGUGAUCUCAGAUGAACGAUUCGGAAUUACAAAUAUUGACAACGAUUGGAUUUUAGAGAUAAAAAACGUAAAUUUGAAUGACAGUGGCUAUUACGACUGUCAAAUCCCUUCUAAUUCCACAACAAUAUAUCCAGUUAAAUUAAUUAUUUUGGAUUAAUUUUUUACAGAAACAUCUCUGCAUGAGAUUUCUUCUUGAUAGACCUAACAAUAUUAUUAUAUAGUCCAAAUAUCGAA